rnacentral:rRNA from 1 species
UCAAGUGAAGAAGCGCAUACGGUGGAUGCCUUGGCAGUCAGAGGCGAUGAAAGACGUGGUAGCCUGCGAUAAGCUUUGGGGAGUCGGCAAACAGACUGUGAUCCAGAGAUCUCUGAAUGGGGGAACCCAGCCAGCAUAAGCUGGUUAUCUUGUACUGAAUACAUAGGUGCAAGAGGCGAACCAGGGGAACUGAAACAUCUAAGUACCCUGAGGAAAAGAAAUCAACCGAGAUUCCCUUAGUAGUGGCGAGCGAACGGGGACCAGCCCUUAAGUUGGUUUGAGAUUAGUGGAACGCUCUGGAAAGUGCGGCCAUAGUGGGUGAUAGCCCCGUACACGAAAAUCUCUUAUCAAUGAAAUCGAGUAGGACGGAGCACGAGAAACUUUGUCUGAAUAUGGGGGGACCAUCCUCCAAGGCUAAAUACUACUGACUGACCGAUAGUGAACCAGUACCGUGAGGGAAAGGCGAAAAGAACCCCGGAGAGGGGAGUGAAAUAGAACCUGAAACCGUAUGCGUACAAGCAGUGGGAGCCUACUUUGUUAGGUGACUGCGUACCUUUUGUAUAAUGGGUCAGCGACUUAUAUUCAGUGGCGAGCUUAACCGAAUAGGGGAGGCGUAGCGAAAGCGAGUCUUAAUAGGGCGUUUAGUCGCUGGGUAUAGACCCGAAACCGGGCGAUCUAUCCAUGGGCAGGUUGAAGGUUAGGUAACACUGACUGGAGGACCGAACCGACUACCGUUGAAAAGUUAGCGGAUGACCUGUGGAUCGGAGUGAAAGGCUAAUCAAGCUCGGAGAUAGCUGGUUCUCCUCGAAAGCUAUUUAGGUAGCGCCUCAUGUAUCACUGUAGGGGGUAGAGCACUGUUUCGGCUAGGGGGUCAUCCCGACUUACCAAACCGAUGCAAACUCCGAAUACCUACAAGUGCCGAGCAUGGGAGACACACGGCGGGUGCUAACGUCCGUCGUGAAAAGGGAAACAACCCAGACCGUCAGCUAAGGUCCCAAAGUCAUGGUUAAGUGGGAAACGAUGUGGGAAGGCUUAGACAGCUAGGAGGUUGGCUUAGAAGCAGCCACCCUUUAAAGAAAGCGUAAUAGCUCACUAGUCGAGUCGGCCUGCGCGGAAGAUGUAACGGGGCUCAAACCAUGCACCGAAGCUACGGGUAUCAUCGUAUGAUGAUGCGGUAGAGGAGCGUUCUGUAAGCCUGUGAAGGUGAGUUGAGAAGCUUGCUGGAGGUAUCAGAAGUGCGAAUGCUGACAUGAGUAACGACAAUGCGAGUGAAAAACUCGCACGCCGAAAGACCAAGGUUUCCUGCGCAACGUUAAUCGACGCAGGGUUAGUCGGUCCCUAAGGCGAGGCUGAAAAGCGUAGUCGAUGGAAAACAGGUUAAUAUUCCUGUACUUCCAGUUAUUGCGAUGGAGGGACGGAGAAGGUUAGGCCAGCCUGGCGUUGGUUGUCCAGGUUUAAGGUGGUAGGCUGAAAUCUUAGGCAAAUCCGGGAUUUCAAGGCCGAGAGCUGAUGACGAGUUGCCUUUAGGCGACGAAGUGGUUGAUACCAUGCUUCCAAGAAAAGCUCCUAAGCUUCAGAUAACUGGGAACCGUACCCCAAACCGACACAGGUGGUUAGGUAGAGAAUACCAAGGCGCUUGAGAGAACUCGGGUGAAGGAACUAGGCAAAAUGGCACCGUAACUUCGGGAGAAGGUGCGCCGGCGAGGGUGAAGGACUUGCUCCGUAAGCCCAUGCCGGUCGAAGAUACCAGGCCGCUGCGACUGUUUAUUAAAAACACAGCACUCUGCAAACACGAAAGUGGACGUAUAGGGUGUGACGCCUGCCCGGUGCCGGAAGGUUAAUUGAUGGGGUUAGCGCAAGCGAAGCUCUUGAUCGAAGCCCCGGUAAACGGCGGCCGUAACUAUAACGGUCCUAAGGUAGCGAAAUUCCUUGUCGGGUAAGUUCCGACCUGCACGAAUGGCGUAACGAUGGCGGCGCUGUCUCCACCCGAGACUCAGUGAAAUUGAAAUCGCUGUGAAGAUGCAGUGUAUCCGCGGCUAGACGGAAAGACCCCGUGAACCUUUACUAUAGCUUUGCACUGGACUUUGAAUUUGCUUGUGUAGG